AGAUUCAAUAAUUUGUGAAGAUGAACCAUGUAAGAACGGCGGGACUUGUGAAGGCUCAUUUAGAGAGCCGUGGAUUUACCGGUGUCACUGCGCAGAUGGUUAUACAGGAAGCAACUGUCAAGACCUAGUCGCUGAUCGUUGCCACGUGGCUGACAAUCCAUGCUCGAAUGGAGGAUCUUGUACUGGUAUCAAGGGAUAUCCAUGUGAAUGCGUUUUGGGAUACACAGGCCCGUUUUGUAACGGUACUUGUGACUCGAAUAUCUGUCAAAAUGGAGGAGCUUGUACUGGUUAUGAUUUAUAUCCAUGUGAUUGCCAAUACGGUUUCGCCGGUGACUUUUGUGAAAAAG